rnacentral:rRNA from 1 species
AGCGAACGCUGGCGGCAGGCCUAACACAUGCAAGUCGAACGAACUCUUCGGAGUUAGUGGCGGACGGGUGAGUAACACGGGGGAACGUGCCUUUUGGUUCGGAAUACCUCAGGGAAACUUGUGCUAAUACCGAAUGUGCCCUUCGGGGGAAAGAUUUAUCGCCAUUAGAGCGGCCCGCGUCUGAUUAGCCAGUUGGUGAGGUAACGGCUCACCAAGGCGACGAUCAUUAGCUGGUCGGAGAGGAUGACCAGCCACACUGGCACUGCGACACGGCCCAGAAUCGGACGGGAGGCAGCAGUGGGGAAUCUUGCGCAAUGGGCGAAAGCCUGACGACGCCACGCCGCGGGAAUGAUGAAGGUGUUAGGAUUGCAAAAUUCUUUCACCGGGGACGAUAAUGACGGUACCCGGAGAAGAAGCCCCGGCUAACUUCGUG